rnacentral:tRNA from 2 species
GGGCUGUUAGCUCAGUUGGUUUAGAGCGCUGCUUUGACAGAGCAGAGGUCGGAGGUUCGAAUCCUCCACAGCCCA